rnacentral:rRNA from 1 species
UACGAAGGGGGGCUAGCGUUGCUCGGAAUCACUGGGCGUAAAGCGCACGUAGGCGGAUUGCUAAGUCAGGGGUGAAAUCCUGGAGCUCAACUCCAGAACUGCCUUUGAUACUGGCGAUCUCGAGUCCGGGAGAGGUGAGUGGAACUGCGAGUGUAGAGGUGAAAUUCGUAGAUAUUCGCAAGAACACCAGUGGCGAAGGCGGCUCACUGGCCCGGUACUGACGCUGAGGUGCGAAAGCGUGGGGAGCAAACAGGG